rnacentral:lncRNA from 1 species
GAGCCUGGAUCUAUUCUUCAUGGAGCCCACAAUCCUGAGUAUUUUAUUUUCCUUCCUAGGCAUGCAACCCGGAUGUUUGGUCAUCAAUGCCAGGAGACAAUGAGAUGAUGUGAUGAUGGAGAGGAAGCACUGGAGGUGCAAUGUUGGGGGAAGAAGAACAACACUGGGAGACUUGGUCCUCUGAAACGGAUUUUGGAAGAGAGAAGCUGAGUGAUGAAGGCAUGGAACCCUGAUGUUUGGUCAUCAAUGCCAGGAGACAAUGAGAUGAUGUGAUGAUGGAGAGGAAGCACUGGAAAGUGUUCAUUUUAUUUUCAUAUGUCUGGAGCUCAGGACACAAAAGGGGGCCUUGCCUUUUAAAUCUAACACUGAUAUCAAAUUGCAAGCAAAAGUAUCAUUCUAAUGGUGGAACACAUUUUGUGGAAUCAAGCAAAGUAGGAGGCAUGCAACCCGGAUGUUUGGUCAUCAAUGCCAGGAGACAAUGAGAUGAUGUGAUGAUGGAGAGGAAGCACUGGAGGUGCAAUGUUGGGGGAAGAAGAACAACACUGGGAGACUUGGUUC